GGGUAUUGUAACUUUAGUGGCGGACGGGUGAGUAACACGUGAGAAUUUACCUUUAGGAGGGGAAUAACAGUUGGAAACGACUGCUAAUGCCGCAUAUCAUAACCAUGAAAGAAGAAAUUCGCCUAAAGAAAAGCUUGCGUCUGAUUAGCUAGUUGGUAAGGGUAAAGGCCUACCAAGGCGACGAUCAGUAGCUGGUUUGAGAGGACGACCAGUCACACUGGAACUGAGACACGGUCCAGACCCCUACGGGAGGCAGCAGUGGGGAAUUUUCUGCAAUGGGCGAAAGCCUGACAGAGCAAUACCGCGUGAGGGAAGAAAGCCCACAGGGUUGUAAACCUCUUUUGUCAAGGAAGAAGUUCUGACGUUACUUGACGAAUAAGCAUCGGCUAACUCCGUGCCAGCAGCCGCGGUAAGACGGGGGAUGCAAGUGUUAUCCGGAAUCACUGGGCGUAAAGCGUUUGUAGGUGGUUUAGUAAGUCUAUUAUUAAAGCUUGAAGCUUAACUUCAAAAGUGUAAUAGAAACUACUAGACUAGAGGAUAGUAGGGGUAAAGGGAAUUUCCAGUGGAGCGGUGAAAUGCGUAGAGAUUGGAAGGACCACCGAUGGCGAAGGCACUUUACUGGGCUAUUUCUGACACUAAGAGACGAAAGC
rnacentral:rRNA from 1 species